rnacentral:rRNA from 1 species
AUUGAACGCUGGCGGCAGGCCUAACACAUGCAAGUCGAGCGAGCGGCGGACGGGUGAGUAAUGUCUGGGAAACUGCCUGAUGGAGGGGGAUAACUACUGGAAACGGUAGCUAAUACCGCAUACCAUCAGAUGUGCCCAGAUGGGAUUAGCUAGUAGGUGGGGUAACGGCUCACCUAGGCGACGAUCCCUAGCUGGUCUGAGAGGAUGACCAGACACACUGGAACUGAGACACGGUCCAGACUCCUACGGGAGGUAGCAGUGGGGAAUAUUGCACAAUGAGCGCAAGCCGGAUGCAGCCAUGCCGCGUGUGUGAAGAAGGCCUGCGGGUUGUAAGGCACUUUCAGCGGGGAGGCGUUACCCGCAGAUGAAGCACCGGCUAAUUCCGUGCCAGCCGCCGCGGUAAUAC